CAGUCGCCACGGGAAUACGAAGGGUGCAAGCGUUAAUCGGAAUUACUGGACGUAAAGCGUGCGUAGGCGGUGAGUUAAGUCUGCUGUGAAAUCCCCGGGCUCAACCUGGGAAUGGCAGUGGAUACUGGCUCGCUAGAGUGUGUCAGAGGAUGGUGGAAUUCCCGGUGUAGCGGUGAAAUGCGUAGAUAUUGGGAAGAACACCGGUGGCGAAGGCGGCAACCUGGCUCAUUACUGACGCUGAGGCGCGAAAGCGUGGGGAGCAAACAGGAUUAGAUACCCGGGUAGUCCCUGUCUCUUAUAC
rnacentral:rRNA from 1 species